rnacentral:rRNA from 1 species
CCUACGGGUGGCAGCAGUGAGGAAUAUUGGGCAAUGCCCGCAAGGGUGACCCAGCAACGCCGCGUGGAGGAUGAAGGCCGUAAGGUUGUAAACUCCUGUUAGAGGAGAAGAAUAGUACCGAUUGGAUCGGUAUUUGACUGUACCCUCAGAGAAAGCCCCGGCUAACUACGUGCCAGCAGCCGCGGUAAUACGUAGGGGGCAAGCGUUGUCCGGCGUUACUGGCGCGCAAGCGCGCGCGGGCGGGAUAGGUUAAAUCCUACAGCUUAACUGUAGAACUGCCUUUGAUACUGUUAUUCUUGAGUUCGGGAGAGAGAGACGGAAUUCCAGGUGUAGUGGUGAAAUACGUAGAUAUCUGGAAGAACACCAGUUGCGAAGGCGGUCUCUUGGUCCGAUACUGACGCUGAGGCGCGAAAGCGUGGGGAGCAAACAGGAUUAGAUACCCUUGUAGUC